rnacentral:rRNA from 1 species
AUUGAACGCUGGCGGCAGGCUUAACACAUGCAAGUCGAGCGGGGUGAUGGUGCUUGCACUAUCACUUAGCGGCGGACGGGUGAGUAAUGCUUAGGAAUCUGCCUAUUAGUGGGGGACAACAUCUCGAAAGGGAUGCUAAUACCGCACACGUCCUACGGGAGAAAGCAGGGGAUCACUUGUGACCUUGCGCUAAUAGAUGAGCCUAAGUCGGAUUAGCUAGUUGGUGGGGGAAAGGCCUACCAAGGCGACGAUCUGUAGCGGGUCUGAGAGGAUGAUCCGCCACCCUGGGACUGAGACACGGCCCAGAGUCCUACGGGAGGCAGCAGUGGGGAAUAUUGGACAAUGGGGGGAACCCUGAUCCAGCCAUGCCGCGUGUGUGAAGAAGGCCUUAUGGUUGUAAAGCACUUUAAGCGAGGAGGAGGCUCUUUUGGUUAAUACCCAAGAUGAGUGGACGUUACUCGCAGAAUAAGCACCGGCUAACUCUGUGCCAGCCGCCGCCGUAA